UACGUAGGGGGCAAGCGUUGUCCGGAAUUAUUGGGCGUAAAGAGCGUGUAGGCGGCCAGAUAAGUCCGCUGUGAAAUCUCGAGGCUCAACUUCGAGCUGUCGGUGGAAACUGUCUGGCUAGAGUCCGGAAGAGGAGAAUGGAAUUCCUGGGUGUAGCGGUGAAAUGCGCAGAUAUCAGGAAGAACACCCGUGGCGAAGGCGGUUCUCUGGAACGCAACUGACGCUGGAGACGCGAAAGCGUGGGAGCAAACAGG
rnacentral:rRNA from 1 species